rnacentral:rRNA from 1 species
GUGGGGAAUUUUGGACAAUGGGCGCAAGCCUGAUCCAGCAAUGCCGCGUGCAGGAAGAAGGCCUUCGGGUUGUAAAAUGCUUUUGUACGGAACGAAACGGUCCGGGUUAAUACCCUGGGCUAAUGACGGUACCGUAAGAAUAAGCACCGGCUAACUACGUGCCAGCAGCCGCGGUAAUACGUAGGGUGCAAGCGUUAAUCGGAAUUACUGGGCGUAAAGCGUGCGCAGGCGGUUUUGUAAGACAGGCGUGAAAUCCCCGGGCUCAACCUGGGAAUUGCGCUUGUGACUGCAAGGCUGGAGUGCGGCAGAGGGGGAUGGAAUUCCGCGUGUAGCAGUGAAAUGCGUAGAUAUGCGGAGGAACACCGAUGGCGAAGGCAAUCCCCUGGGCCUGCACUGACGCUCAUGCACGAAAGCGUGGGGAGCAAACAGGAUUAGAAACCCCUGUAGUCC